UGGCAUAUCCCAAAUUUUGCAAAAUUAUAAUGGCAUGGUUCUAAUUUUCCUAUUUAUUUUA
rnacentral:sRNA from 1 species